ACAGGUAUGAUGAAAUUUGGUAAACAUAUUAGGUUUAGAUUCUAAUUAACAAAAAAGUUAUUGAGGGUUCGAGUCCCUCUACCUGUA
rnacentral:tRNA from 1 species